GAUAAGUGGUUUGUGAUGACUAAAGCACUCAUAGCCACAUGGCUGUUUGGUCCUUUGAAGUUGGCUCUUCCUGUCACCAAGCAGAAAUCACCAAGCCUUGGAUUGCUCACCCACUGAUAGGGAACGUGAGCGAGGUUUCAGACCUCAUGAGACAGGAC
rnacentral:ncRNA from 1 species